rnacentral:rRNA from 1 species
GACGAACGCUGGCGGCGUGCUUAACACAUGCAAGUCGAACGGAAAGGCCCUGCUUGCAGGGUGCUCGAGUGGCGAACGGGUGAGUAACACGUGGGUGAUCUGCCCUGCACUUCGGGAUAAGCCUGGGAAACUGGGUCUAAUACCGGAUAGGAGCCAUUUUUAGUGUGAUGGUUGGAAAGUUUUUUCGGUGUAGGAUGAGCUCGCGGCCUAUCAGCUUGUUGGUGGGGUAAUGGCCUACCAAGGCGGCGACGGGUAGCCGGCCUGAGAGGGUGGACGGCCACAUUGGGACUGAGAUACGGCCCAGACUCCUACGGGAGGCAGCAGUGGGGAAUAUUGCACAAUGGGCGCAAGCCUGAUGCAGCGACGCCGCGGGGGGGAUGACGGCCUUCGGGUUGUAAACUCAUUUCGCUAGGGACGAAGCUUUUUGUGACGGUACCUAGAUAAGAAGCACCGGCUAACUACGUG